CCUACGGGUGGCUGCAGUCGAGAAUCUUUCACAAUGGGGGAAACCCUGAUGCUGCGACGCCGCGUGGGUGAAUGAAGGUCUUCGGAUUUUAAACCCCUGUCAUGUGGGAGCAAAUUAAAAAGAUAGUACCACAAGAGGAAGCGACGGCUAACUCUGUGCCAGCAGCCGUGGUAAUACAGAGGUCUCAAGCGUUGUUCGGAACCACUGGGCGUAAAGCGUGCGGAGGCUGUUUCGUAAGUCGUGUGUGAAAGGCGCGGGCUCAACCCGCGGACGGCACAUGAUACUGCGAGGCUAGAGUAAUGGAGGGGGAAGUGGAAUUCCCGGUGUAGCAGUGAAAUGCGUAGAUAUCGGGAGGAACACUCGUGGCGAAGGCGGGUUCCUGGACAGUAACUGACGCUGAGGCACGAAGGCCAGGGGAGCGAAAGGGAUUAGAUACCCCUGUAGUC
rnacentral:rRNA from 1 species